AGAGUGAACGCUGGCGGCAGGCCUAACACAUGCAAGUCGAACGGCAGCACAGGGGAGCUUGCUCCCCGGGUGGCGAGUGGCGGACGGGUGAGGAAUACAUGGGAAUCUGCCCAAUCGUGGGGGAUAACGUAGGGAAACUUACGCUAAUACCGCAUACGACCUUAGGGUGAAAGCGGCGGACCUCAAGGCGUCGCGCGAUUGGAUGAGCCCAUGUCGGAUUAGCUUGUUGGCGGGGUAAAGGCCCACCAAGGCGACGAUCCGUAGCUGGCUGAGAGGAUGAUCAGCCACACUGGAACUGAGACACGGUCCAGACUCCUACGGGAGCAGCAGUGGGAAUAUUGGACAAUGGGCGCAAGCCUGAUCCAGCCAUGCCGCGUGGGUGAAGAAGGCCUUGGUGUAAAGCCCUUUAGGUCCGAAAGAAACGCUUACGGACUUAACGUACCCCGGGUCCUAGACCGGUACCGGUAAGAAUAAGCAACCGGCUAAACUCGU
rnacentral:rRNA from 1 species